rnacentral:rRNA from 1 species
GACGUAGGGGGCAAGCGUUGUCCGGAAUUAUUGGGCGUAAAGCGCUCGUAGGUGGAUCAACAAGUCUGCAAGCAAAGACCCGGGCUCAACUCGGGAAUCCGUGUGGAAACUGUUGAUCUAGAGGUAGUCAGAGGAUGAUGGAAUUCCCGGUGUAGCGGUGAAAUGCGUAGAGAUCGGAAAGAACACCAAUGGCGAAAGCACUCUGCUGGGCCGACACUGACACUGAGAGACGAAAGCUAGGGGAGCGAAUGGG